UGAUUCUCCUGCCUCAGACUCCUGAGUAGCUGAGACUACAGCCAGGACACAAAUACAUGUAAUGAAAUUUUGAUGGCAACAUUACAAUGUAGAAAAGAGCCCUGAACUGAAGAGUCCAAGGGGAGGAAACCUGUGGAGUCUUCACAGUGUUACUCACCCAAGGGUGUGUAUUUUUAUAGAGGAAAUAAUUCCUUAGUAAUUUUAUUGAGCAUAUACCUUUUCUAGUUUUCAAAAAAGUCCUUAUAAAAAUCUG